rnacentral:misc_RNA from 1 species
AAGUUUUAUAGCAUUGCUUGCUCGAAUUCGAUUGAUUACUACCAUAACAUUAGCAUUAGAACAAUUAUCCAAUAAUGCACACAGUUCUUCAAAGCUCUUUGGGGCUUCAAUUAAAAAGGGAAUUUCUUUUUCAGUUGAACAGUGCUUUAUGUUCUUUGCAGCCAAAGAUUCGCCGUUUCCUUCUCUAGUCUCAACAUUGUCAUUUUUCUUUGACUUCUUGUAGCCUCUGGGCUCUAUUGCUUCAUCUUCAUCAUCAAGUUUGUCAUUGUACUCUUCUUCAUCAUCUUCCAAUUCUGUUCCAAGAUUAUCAUCAUCACUCUGCUCCCAGUCCUUCAACGACAGAGUUUUAUCACUUUCAUCCUUAUCUUCACUAUUAUCACUUUCAUCAGAUCCUUCAUUAUCACCAUCAUCUUCAGCACUUUCUGAAUCUUCAGAAGAAUUAUCAUCUUCGUUCUCAGAGCCAUCCACAUCCCUUCGUUCAAGAAUCUCAUCAACCCAGCCCUUUCUAGCCUUAGGCUCUUCAUGGAAAGAAAAGGAAUCACCUAGAUCAUCCCCAGAUAUUGAUCUUGGCCUCUGGGUCAAUGGCAUUUCAAUAUCAUCA